rnacentral:rRNA from 1 species
UCGAGCGCACUCUAUUAGAGUGAGCGGCAAACGGGUGAGUAACGCGUGGGAAUCUACCCCUCUCUACGGAAUAACACAGAGAAAUUUGUGCUAAUACCGUAUACGUCCCUAUGGGAGAAAGAUUUAUCGGAGAUGGAUGAGCCCGCGUUGGAUUAGCUAGUUGGUGAGGUAACGGCUCACCAAGGCGACGAUCCAUAGCUGGUCUGAGAGGAUGAUCAGCCACACUGGGACUGAGACACGGCCCAGACUCCUACGGGAGGCAGCAGUGGGGAAUAUUGGACAAUGGGGGCAACCCUGAUCCAGCCAUGCCGCGUGAGUGAUGAAG